rnacentral:tRNA from 1 species
UGUGGAGUAGAGAAGUUCGGUAUCUCGCGGGUCUCAUAAACCUGAAAUCGUGGGUUCAAAUCCCACCUCCGCAACCC